UGUAAACAACAAUAUUUCACUGAUCAAACACACAAUAUGCAAUAAUAUAUCGUAAACAACAAUAUUUCACUGUAAAAAUACACUCUAAUGUCGCAAAUUAACAAAACAAACAACAUCUUCUAGUUUCUUAGAACACAAUUUCUUCUAGUAGACUGAAACACAAGCAUUAAAACAUAAAGUUAAAACAAACAAUCCAUCAUAAUUCCGCACACCCAAAAGUUAUAACAACCCAUCAUUGUUAACCAUCUUCAUGCCUUGCAUAAGUGAGAUAUCUUCAAGAAUUCCAAACCCUACAAAAACAAUGAUGCCUUGCUAAAUGAUACUAUAAGAAUAUGAUCUUACCAAUAAGAAUAAACGAAGUUUAGGAUCUUACCCAUACACCAACAAAAUAAUGUUACAUUCCAACUAGCCUGAAUAACCGAAUAUCAUAGCCUGAAAUUAAAAAACAAAAAGUAAGACUAUAUAUAAAAUUCAUAAAAUUUUACAACCUAAUAAAUAAUUUAUAAACAUGUAAUAUGUUAUACUUACAUUGGCCUUAUUUAUACAUUGAACUCAAUCCGCAACCAAUUUGAAGCACAAAGAAGACCUUCUACCGUGUCAUCACCUAAUGAAGCUCUGUCAUCACUAAUAACUCGACGUCCGGCACUGAAAGCUGCCUCAGAUGGUACAGUAGUCACAGGAAUAGAGAGAAUAUCACGAGCCAUUUUUGACAAAGUGGGAAACUUCAGGGUAUUUGAUUUCCACCAUGCCAAAACAUCAAACUCUUUACCUCCACCUACUAAAGCACUUUCUUCAAGAUAAAUGUCUAUCUCCUUUCUACUUGGUUGAGCAGUACUUCUUGUCUUGAGCCAAUUUUCGAACUCAACUCUUUCUCUAUCAUCCUCGUUCCUAGGAAGACCCCCACCACCAUCUUGACCAAUGUUACUAUUCCCACCAUUUGUUCCCAUAGCAACGUAGUCAUCAUAAAGGUUAUGCAAUUCGGCUCUAAUGUAUUGCAGUUUUGUCUCCACUUCCUCUAAUCCAUAUAGCUUUUCAAAUACAUACUCAAUAUGCAUCAUUUUAUUUCGAGGAUCCAAAACAGCAGCUAUUACCAUCAAAAGACUACUCUCAUUCCAAUACUUGUCAAACUUUUCUUUCAUCCUUUGAACCAUAACCUUCAUGAAUUCUCUUUGGUCAUUAGCCAUAUCAUCCAAGAGUUUUCUUAUUUUCCAAACUUGAGGAAAAAAUAAAUUUGAAGUUGUGUAGUCACGACCUGAGAAAAUGUCAGUUACUUUAUCAAAAAUAGCUAGAAACUUGCACACAUCGCUCGCUAUUUUCCAAUCAUCAUCAGAUGGCAACCAACAAUAUGAAGUGUCUCUCAUUGCAUAUCUAGGAAAAGCAUCUUUGAAGAGAAUCGCUCUAUCCAACAUAUAAAAUGUCGAAUUCCAUCGGGUGACACAAUCAAGAAUCAAAGUCUUAUCAGUGGGCAAAGACAUAUUCUUGACAACUUCAUUGAACUUAUGAAGACGCGAAGGGGUCAAAGUGAUGAACUUUACACUUUCACGAACAUUCUCAAUAACACUUUUAAUUGGACUCAACCCAUCCUGCACCAUAAGAUUCAAGAUAUGUGCACAACACCUAACAUGAAAUAUCUUCCCACCAAAGUAAAGUGCAUUUCUACCUUGAAAUUGUUCUUUCAAAGAUCUAACAGCCGCAUCAUUUGAAGAAGCAUUAUCAAACGUAAUAGUGGAAAUCUUGUUUUCAAUUCCCCAAUCAGAAAGACAUUCAAAGAUUUUAUCAGCAAUAGCAAGUCCAGUGUGUGGUGGUGGCAACAAACAAAAGUUUAAUAUGCGAUUUUGCAAAUUCCACUCAUUAUCUAAAAAGUGUCCAGUCACACACAUGUAUCCUUUAGUUUGGUUAGAAGUCCAUAAGUCGGAUGUUAAGCUAAUCCUACCAACACCAUUAAACAUCACCUUCAUUUUUAUUUUCUCUUCCGCGUAUAAUUUCAUGGCAUGGUCUCUAAUAGAUUGGCGACCAAAAGGCUCAUAUUUGGGGUUAAGCAUCUUACUAUAGAUUCUAAACAUCUUAUGUUCAACCAUUCUAAAAGGAUACUCAUGAACCAUGAUCAUCUUAGCUGUGAUAUCUUUUAUGGCUUCUUUGUCGUACUUGUAAGUUGUCAAAGAACCAGUUUCUCCACAAGACUCAAAACUUAAAAGUGACUGACCUGGACCAUUACCUUUACCAGAGAUUUUAGCUUUGCGACUUAAGCAUGUAUCUACAUGCCUUUUAAAGCUUGAAGUUGGCCCCCCCUUAGUAUAGAUAAAAUGUCGGAAACAAUGUUUGCAUUUCACACCCGUCGUCUUGCCGUCUUGAUCUACAACCUCUUCAACAUCAAUCCAUACACCGGAUGUCUUUGCUCGUUUGUGUGCUCUAGAUGGUUGUAUUGUUUCUUCUUGAGUUGAAGCUUGCAAGUUGACUUGUUCAUUUUCCAUAUUCGCAGGAGUUGCAGAAGAAGCUUCUAAAUCUAUUGGAUGCUCUUGAUUUGAUGUCGACAUAACCUGACAAAAAAAAUAUAUAUAUUAUACAACAUUUUAAUCAAACCAAACUGUUGCACAAGACAUGAAAUAAUCUAAUAA
rnacentral:lncRNA from 1 species